CGGACGGGUGAGUAACGCGUGGAAAACCUGCCGUAUACUGGGGGAUAACACUUAGAAAUAGGUGCUAAUACCGCAUAAGCGCACAGCUUCGCAUGAAGCGGUGUGAAAAACUCUGGUGGUAUACGAUGGUUCCGCGUCUGAUUAGCUAGGUUGGUGGGGUAAUGGCCUACCAAGGCAACGAUCAGUAGCCGGCCUGAGAGGGUGAACGGCCACAUUGGGACUGAGACACGGCCCAAACUCCUACGGGAGGCAGCAG
rnacentral:rRNA from 1 species